rnacentral:rRNA from 1 species
UGGGGAAUCUUAGACAAUGGGCGCAAGCCUGAUCUAGCCAUGCCGCGUGAUCGAUGAAGGCCUUAGGGUUGUAAAGAUCUUUCAGUGGGGAAGAUAAUGACGGUACCCACAGAAGAAGCCCCGGCUAACUCCGUGCCAGCAGCCGCGGUAAUACGGAGGGGGCUAGCGUUAUUCGGAAUUACUGGGCGUAAAGCGCACGUAGGCGGACCGGAAAGUUGGAGGUGAAAUCCCAGGGCUCAACCUUGGAACUGCCUUCAAAACUUCUGGUCUUGAGGUCGUGAGAGGUAAGUGGAAUUCCGAGUGUAGAGGUGAAAUUCGUAGAUAUUCGGAGGAACACCAGUGGCGAAGGCGGCUUACUGGCACGAUACUGACGCUGAGGUGCGAAAGCGUGGGGAGCAAACA